AUGGGAUCGAAGCCAUUCCCGGGAAGCCCAGUGGGGUUUUUUUUUUUGGGAUGGGCAGAGCGGGAAAAUCCCGUGGGAUGGAGGGAGGGAAAAGGAGCCGGAGCCUCCCGGGGCUUCCCGAAAUUCCCACUUUUCCCCAGGAUUUGCCCCGGGAUCUCUCCGGGAUAUUCCAGGUGGGGGGAAAUUGGGAUUCUCCUGGCCCCGCAUUCCCAAAUCCCUGUCCUCGAUCCCAAAUCCCUGUCCCCGAUCCCAAAUCCCUGUCCUCGAUCCCAAAAUCCAUCCUCGAUUCCCAAGCUCUGGUCCCACAUUCCCAAAGCUCCAUCCCCAAUCCCCAAAUUCCCUCCUCAAUCCCAAAUCUCCGUCCCCAAUUCCCAGAAUUCCAAAGCUCCAUCCCCAAUCCCAAAAUUCCCUCCCCAAUCCCAAAUCUCCGUCCCCAAUUCCCAGAAUCCCAAGGCUGCAUCCUCAAUUCCCAAAUGUCUCCUCAAUCCCAAAUUUCCAUCCCCAAUCCCAAAAUCCCCUCCUCAAUCCCAAAUCUCUCCCCGAUUCCCAAAUUUCCAUCCCCAAUUCCCAAAUAUCCAUCCUCAAUCCCGAAAUUCCCUCCUCAAUCCCAGAUCUCCAUCCCCAAUUCCCAAACCUCUCCCCGCAUUCCCAAAUUUUCAUCCCCGAUCCCAGAUCUCCAUCCCCAAUUCCCAGAAUCCCAAAUUCCCAUCCCCAAUUCCCAAAUCUCUCCCUGAUUCCCAAAUUUUCAUCUCCAAUUCCCAAAUAUCCAUCCUCAAUCCCAAAAUUCCCUCCUCAAUCCCAGAUCUCCAGCCCCAAUUCCCAAAUUUCCAUCCCCAAUUCCCAGAAUCCCCAAUUUCCAUCCCCAAUUCCCAAAAUUCCGAAGCUCCAUCCCCAAUCCCAAAAUGCCCUCCUCAAUCCCAAAAUUCCCUCCCCAAUACCAAAUCUCCGUCCCCAAUUCCUAAAAUCCCAAAUUUCCAUCCCCAAUUCCCAGAAUCCCAAAUUUCCAUCCCCAAUUCCCAAAUCUCCAUCCCCAAUUCCCAGAAUCCCAAAUUUCCAUCCCCAAUUCCCAAAUCUCCCUCCCCAAUUCCCAGAAUCCCAAAUUUCCAUCCCCAAUUCCCAAAUCUCCAUCCCCAAUUCCCAGAAUCCCAAAUUUCCAUCCCCAAUUCCCAAAUCUCCAUCCCCAAUUCCCAGAAUCCCAAAUUUCCAUCCCCAAUUCCCAAAUCUCCAUCCCCAAUUCCCAGAAUCCCAAAUCUCCAUCCCCAAUUCCCAAAUCUCCAUCCCCAAUUCCCAGAAUCCCAAAUUUCCAUCCCCAAUUCCCAAAUCUCCAUCCCCAAUUCCCAGAAUCCCAAAUCUCCAUCCCCAAUUCCCAAAUCUCCCUCCCCAAUUCCCAGAAUCCCAAAUUUCCAUCCCCAAUUCCCAAAUCUCCCUCCCCAAUUCCCAGAAUCCCAAAUCUCUCCCAACAUUCCCAAUCUCCCCCAAUUCCCUGGAUUUCCCCCACCCCAGAGCGGAGUUUUCCCUUGGGAAUCCCGGCCUUUCCCGCCCUUAUUGCUGUGGAAAAUGGCUCCAUUUAGGAUCCCCCCCUUCCCAAAAAACCACCCCGACCCCCCAAAAAUUCCACGGAUUCUUCCAAAGAGGAGGAAGGAGGGGGGGGGGGGGAAAAUCCCAAAAAAAUUCCAACCUGACUUUUGGGAAGCGGGAAACUCCCCCCCACCUCCCUUUUUUUUUUUUUUUUUCCCAGCCCUUCCCUCUUUUCCCAGAUUUUUCCCUUUGGGAAUGUCCCCAAGUGCCACCACCCCGCGAAGCGAAGCAGGGAAAGGAGGGAGCGAAUUCCCGGCAGCGAAUUCCCGAUUCCCGGCAGCGCAUUCCCAGCACGGAUCCCUCUGGAAAAGCGAAUCCAGGGAAUCCUUCCCGCGGCAGCAGCGAAGCGGCUCCCACCCCCACCCCCCCCAACCCCCUCCCGUGUCCCCUCCUUAUCCCGCCACCCCUUAUUGCGACAGAAUUCCAAGGAAUUCGGAGCUGGAGCCGGGAAUUUCCCGCUGGGAAUUUGGGAUGAGGGAGAAGCGGCACCGGCGGCGGGGCUGGGUCGGGAUUUAG
ensembl:lncRNA